UGCAGUCUCUGCUUUAAAGUAAGCAGAUGAAUUGCCAGUCACAUAUAGAAUCAGAUUCUUCCCUUAGUUGCUCUGUUUUCAUUGAGUGCUGAUGAAGCCGUUGGUAAGUGUUGCCGGGACACACUGUCUGCAGCUCACUGCUUAUUUAUUGACCGGCGUGUAGUGUGGCAUACUGGGUCAAUAACCCUCCACUUGUUUUUAGUCACCUGAGAGGAAGAAAGACAGUAUUCCUUUGUGAAAAAUAAGUAAAUUUCAGCAUACUUUUAAAAAUAGUACUUCCUAUGAUUUAAUAUACAUAAUAUACAUUUUAAGUAUUUAAUUACGUCUUUAUAUGUAUUUCAUAAUUCCUUCUAUUGUCUUAUAUGAAAUAUAGAUAAAGUAUAAUAAGGUGAAUGGUAUCUGUUUCUUUCCCAUGCUUCCCCUAAAUGUCUGUUCUAGGAGCAUGCAAGUUCGGUGAGCAGGUACGCAGUACAGUGGAACAGGCGGAUUGCUUUACUGUAGCAACAAAUACUGUAAUGCACAGUUCUCGUAAUUUCAACAGGAAUUUAUUUCCAACAGUGAAUUCCAUUCACCUCAACUGCAGGCCUCUGUGGCUCUCUCCAACGGCAACCGGAGGGCACCUUCACCUGAGUACUGAUGCUGUGCUGGACUACAUUACCCAUAUGCCUCAUUCCUCGGACUAAUCACCACCAGGUGUUCGUAAUUCCACUCCCUAUAUAAACUGGUUCCAGACUCUCAUUCAACGCAAGUUUAGUCUGUCUUGCAUUUCUGAGCAUUUAUUCUGGACUGGUUACCUGUGUAUUAUCUUGGACUGCUCCUAUUCUAUUGAUUCUCUGCCGCCUGCCUACUGACCCUCUGCUUUGUCUCUGACCUGUCUACUGCCUGCCGCCUGCCCUGAUUCAGGUCUGGUAACCGACCUUGAUUCUGUUUAUCUGUGAUAUCCUUGACGCUGUUGUUAGACCUCUGCCUGGUAAUUCUACGUUUCUAAAUAAACAUUGCAAAUGGAUCCA
ensembl:lncRNA